UACGUAGGGUGCAAGCGUUAAUCGGAAUUACUGGGCGUAAAGCGUGCGCAGGCGGUUGUGCAAGACAGAUGUGAAAUCCCCGGGCUUAACCUGGGAAUUGCAUUUGUGACUGCACGGCUAGAGUGUGUCAGAGGGGGGUAGAAUUCCACGUGUAGCAGUGAAAUGCGUAGAGAUGAUGGAGGAAUACCGAUGGCGAAGGCAGCCCCCUGGGAUAACACUGACGCUCAUGCAACGAAAGCGUGGGGAGCAAACAAGG
rnacentral:rRNA from 1 species